UCCGAUAUAGUGUACGGGCUAUCACAUCACGCUUUCACCGUGGAGACCGGGGUUCGACUCCCCGUAUCGGAG
rnacentral:tRNA from 1 species